rnacentral:rRNA from 1 species
UGGGGAAUAUUGGACAAUGGGCGCAAGCCUGAUCCAGCAAUGCCGCGUGUGUGAAGAAGGCCUUCGGGUUGUAAAGCACUUUUAUCAGGAGCGAAACGCUGUCGGCUAAUACCCGGCGGAACUGACGGUACCUGAGGAAUAGGCACCGGCUAACUUCGUGCCAGCAGCCGCGGUAAUACGAAGGGUGCAAGCGUUAAUCGGAAUUACUGGGCGUAAAGCGUGCGUAGGCGGUUUCUUAAGUCUGCUGUGAAAUCCCCGGGCUCAACCUGGGAAUGGCAGUGGAUACUGGGAGGCUAGAGUGUGUCAGAGGGUGGUGGAAUUCCCGGUGUAGCGGUGAAAUGCGUAGAGAUCGGGAGGAACAUCAGUGGCGAAGGCGGCCACCUGGGACAACACUGACGCUGAGGCACGAAAGCGUGGGGAGCAAACAGGAUUAGAUACCCUGGUAGUCCACGCCCUAAACGAUGCGAACUGGAUGUUGGUCUCAACUCGGAGAUCAGUGUCGAAGCUAACGCGUUAAGUUCGCCGCCUGGGGAGUACGGUCGCAAGACUGAAACUCAAAGGAAUUGACGGGGUCAUAGCUGUUUCCUG